rnacentral:lncRNA from 1 species
GUGAGGUCUGGACAGACCCUCUGAGCUCUCAAAUUGCCUGUUCCAAGAUAGUGCCUGCUACAGUCACUUCUGCCUAUUUUCAUUCUUCCUGCUACAGUGAAAGAUUGAGUCUGUCCUCCUUGUGUCUGUGAAUAUAGUAGUUACCCUCAGUACUUGUCCACUUCAGAUAACCCAGAGUCUUUUUAUAUUUUGCAUGUAGUCAAGUCUCAAAUUAUUUUUCCACAGUGAUGAAAAAAAUAGAAAAAAAGAGUUCAAAAGAAUAAGCAAUUCAACUAGCUCAGAGGUCAAGGCUGUUUUACUUCAGCAUCCCUUAUAUGAUUUUUAUGAUAUCAAUUUUAAUUAACCUAAUGAUAUUACUAUCAAAAAUGUGUCAAUUUUUAAUACCACUUCACUGGUAUUUCAUCAUAUGUUGAAAUGUGGUUUUGGACUAAAUUUGAUAUUUGUAAAUAAUGUUUAUUUUUAAAAGUGAGUCUUCCCCAGUUUUUGAUGCAGAAUUGUAAUAUAUAUUGUACAUAUAUUUACACAUAUAUAUUACCAUGCAUGUUAAUUAUGUGUUUCAGUCUUGUCUGUCAUUACUGACAUUUGUUUCUACUUGAUUAUCAAUUGGUAUAUUAAAAUUAGAUUAAAUGUUAUAAUUAUGGAUUUAUUGUCUACUCAUAAUGUUCUUCAUUUUUAUGUUAUCUAAUUUGAAACAUUAUUACAUGUGUAAAAAUAUAAAUUAAUUAUGCCUUAGCCAAAUUUCUGGUAGCUAGUAUACUAGAUUUCUGGUUAUAUUUUGCCUUAUAAAAUCUUUUGUAAUCAGUAUAGACUACCUUUUAAAUUAAUAUUUUAUUUUAUUAUUGUUCCCUUUAAUGAUAAUGAAGCUUUUCCUGAUUUUAAAAAUGUACUUUAGAAACGUUUUUUAAUAUUUUUAAUUAGAUAUUUUAUUUACAUUUCAAAUAUUAUCUCUUUUCCUCAUUUCCCCUACAAAAACUCCCUAUCCCAUUCCCCCUCCCCCUGCUCACCAACCCACCCACCUACAUUCCCAUCCCUGGCAUUCCCCUAUACUGGGGCAUCAUAGCUCAGAAACUUAAUGCAAAUAAAAUGAAUAAUUAUAAAGUAGCUUAAGAAUUAAAAUUUUCUCAUUCCCACAAUCUCCAGGCAUAAUUCUCCUCCCAAAAAUUAUUCUCCCAAAUGAUUGCUGCAGCUGUGGUUUAUAGAUAGAUCUUUGCUUUGCUACCUAUGCAUUCUGAAAAAUAUGCUUUAUGGAGAUUUUUGUAGGCAGGCCCAGCUCAAUCUCCUUUAUUGCUUUAAACAGUGGCUUUAUCAGUUGUCCUACCCAGAGAAAAGGGUUGUUCAUGAAGAAAGUAGUUCUUCAACUUGUAACACGGACUGUCACACAGAUGUCCUCUUGCUGGGCAGUCCCAGCUCUGAGUAUGCAGCAGAAGAACUUCAUGAGUUCUUCCUGUUGCCACUCCAGAUACUGAAAAUCUGUGCUUGGAAGUCACUGUCUCAUUUGUAUGACCUUACCAAGACUUCUAGUCAUUUUUACUAUCAGUACAAGUAGCAAAACAAAGCCAAAGGCAAUAGCAUUCGUAAGAGUCUUUAAGAUGUGUUAGGUCUGGUCUGGCCUUUUCAUUCUCAUCAAGCAAGCUAGUGCUCUCAUCAGCAUGGCCUGCUGCGCCUUUUUUUUUUUUUUUUUAAGAUUUAUUUAUUUAUUAUAUGUAAGCACACUGUAGCUGUCUUCAGACACUCCAGAAAAGGGCAUCAGAUCUUGUUACAGAUGGUUGUGAGCCACCAUGUGGUUGCUGGGAUUUGAACUUCGAACCUUCGGAAGAGCAGUCGGGUGCUCUUACCCACUGAGCCAUCUCACCAGCCUGCUGCGCCUUUUUCAGCUUCACUUUCCUCAUUAAGUGGGAAAUUUUGAUGGUAUAUUUUGUGAAAUGUAAUGGUCUCUUUUCUCGUGGCCUCUUAAUUAGAAAAUUCCAUUAAUUUACAAUCCUUAGUAAUAUAGAAUUUAGGUGUUUUUCUCUGUAAACCAUUCUUUUCUUCCUUGCUUUACCUUGCCUUCUUUUUUUUUUUUUCCAGAUGAUGGCUUACCUUUUUUUUUAUUAGGUAUUUUCCUCAUUUACAUUUCCAGUGCUAUCCCAAAAGUCCCCCAUACCCUUCCCCCUACUCCCCUACCCACCCACUCCCACUUCUUGGCCCUGACGUUCCCCUGUACUGGGGCAUAUAAAGUUUGCACUACCAAGGGGCCUCUCUUUCCACUGAUUGCCAACUAGGCCAUCUUCUGAUACAUAUGCAGCUAGAGACACCAGCUCCAGGGGUUACUGGUUAGUUCAUAUUGUUGUUCCACCUAUAGGGUUGCAGAUCCCUUUAGCUCCUUGGGUACUUUCUCUAGCUCCUCCAUUGGGAGCCCUGUGAUCCAUCCAAUAGCUGACUGUGAGCAUCCACUUCUGUGUUUGCCUAGUCUCACAAGAGACAGCUAUAUCAGGGUCCUUUCAGCAAAAUCUUUCUAGUGUAUGCAAUGGUGUCAGCGUUUGGAGGCUGAUUAUGGGAUGGAUCCCUGGAUAUGGCAGGCUCUAGAUGGUCCAUCCUUUUGUCUCAGCUCCAAACUUUGUAAGUUAGACUUUUUUGAGAACUUCCUCUGACCUUUUUCGUUCCUCCCGCCCCACUGCCUUGUCUGCCUUCUCUGCACUCCUGAUUUUCUAUCACAAAUAUCAGUGACAGGAUAUUAGAGGAUUAUGGUAAUAGGACCUUGCUUAGACAGUUAAAAAAAGAGAUGUAGAAACUCUCAAAAUUGCCAGGUUUAAGGGCUUGCAUUAAUAAAUAGCCUCGUUGACAUAGGUAGGUAGGUAGGUAGGUAGGUAGGUAGGUAGGUAGGUAGGUAGGUAGGUAGGUAGGUAGAUAGAUAGAUAGAUAGAUAGAUAGAUAGAUAGAUAGAUAGAUAGAUAGAUAGAUAGAUAGAUAGAUAGAUCAGAUUUAGAAGGUACGGGGCAUCAGUUUGCCUGGUCCAUCCUUUUUGCAAGUUCUUUUGAGUAGGUGGGGGGACAGCACCCUCGUAGAAGCAGGGGAGGAGGGAUGAGAUAGGCAGUUUGCAGAGGGGAAACUGGGAAAGAGUAUAACAUUUGAAAUGUAAAUAAAUUAAAUAUCCAGUAGAAAAGGAGAGAGGAAAAAU